UACGAGGGGUGCAAGCGUUGCUCGGAAUUAUUGGGCGUAAAGGGUGCGUAGGUGGUGGGGUAAGUCGGAUGUGAAAUCCCGGGGCUCAACCCCGGAACUGCAUUCGAAACUGCCUUGCUCGAGUACUGGAGAGGAGACUGGAAUUUACGGUGUAGCAGUGAAAUGCGUAGAUAUCGUAAGGAAGACCAGUGGCGAAGGCGAGCCUCUGGACAGUUACUGACACUGAGGCACGAAGGCCAGGGGAGCAAACGGG
rnacentral:rRNA from 1 species